CCCUAUUCGUGCUUUGCGAGGCUUGUCUUGGCUUUGCAAUGUUGGCAUCGGCAACAACACAUGGCUGCGCGUCGUGUGUUGGGGCUGGUGUUGGCUUUGUAUCGGCGAGGCAAGUGUACGUGCGGCACAUGAGUGGUGUUCGGCUUGUGUGGCUAGGUUGGAUCCCUGCUCAACAACACAUGGCUGCGCGUCACGUUUGGGGCUGGUGUUAGCUUUGUAUCGACGAGGCAAGUGUACGUGCGGCACAUGAGUUGUGUUCGGCUUGUGUGGCUAGGUUGGAUCCCUGCUCGAGUAGCGACGUCCUAGCUCGCAUGCCAUCUCAGUCAUGUCAUAAGCGCAAAUUAGGCUUGUUCGACGCCGAUUUUCUUUGUUGCAUACCUAAUGCCAAGGCAUU
rnacentral:lncRNA from 1 species